AUAAGAAAUUGAAGUUUGUGCUUUCACGUCAAAUGUCAAGUUUUGAGGUUAAGUUUUAGAACCUCUACAAAUAAAUUAAUAGUGAUGAAUUAAUUGUUUUUGUUGGAAUGAUAUAGCGCAAUAGGCGGUUCAGGAAUUUUAUGUCUCGAAUUUUGUAAAUAUACGUUCAAAAAAACGCAAUGUAUUCACUUGUAAAUUUCCUCGACACUGGCUAAUUGUUUUAGUAUUGUCUACUAUAAUUUUUCUUAUAAUUGUGAACUUUGUUAUUCCUUACAAUUCAGGUU